rnacentral:rRNA from 1 species
AGCGGCGGACGGGUGAGUAAUGCAUAGGAAACUGCCCAGUAGUGGGGGAUAGCCCGGGGAAACCCGGAUUAAUACCGCAUACGCCCUUCGGGGGAAAGCAGGGGAUCUUCGGACCUUGCGCUAUUGGAUGUGCCUAUGUCGGAUUAGCUAGUUGGUGGGGUAAGAGCCUACCAAGGCGACGAUCCGUAGCUGGUCUGAGAGGAUGAUCAGCCACAUCGGGACUGAGACACGGCCCGAACUCCUACGGGAGGCAGCAGUGGGGAAUAUUGGACAAUGGGGGCAACCCUGAUCCAGCCAUGCCGCGUGUGUGAAGAAGGCUUUCGGGUUGUAAAGCACUUUCAGUGAGGAGGAAAACCUUACGACUAAUACUCGUGAGGCUUGACGUUACUCACAGAAGAAGCACCGGCUAACUCCGUGCCAGCAGCCGCGGUAAUACGGAGGGUGCAAGCGUUAAUCGGAAUUACUGGGCGUAAAGCGCGCGUAGGUGGUUUGUUAAGUCAGAUGUGAAAGCCCAGGGCUCAACCUUGGAACUGCA